AACUUUCAACAACGGAUCUCUUGGCUCUCGCAUCGAUNAAGAACGCAGCGAAAUGCGAUAAGUAAUGUGAAUUGCAGAAUUCAGUGAAUCAUCGAAUCUUUGAACGCACCUUGCGCUCCUUGGUAUUCCGAGGAGCAUGCCUGUUUGAGUGUCAUG
rnacentral:rRNA from 1 species